UCUCUCAUCUAUACCUCCUUGUGCUAUGAUCUCAAUAGAUCUCACAAACUAAGCAGACUUCAGGGGUUUUAUUACUUGGAUAGGUAACCUGUAAGGAAAAUCUGUUUGGUGCAGGAA
rnacentral:rRNA from 1 species